GGAGUUGUAGGUCGCUGACUUCAGAGGUGAAAUAAUUGUCGUUAUUAUACUGCAUUGGUUUCAUCAUUUGGAAGAUUUCAGGUAAAUUUUCUGGUCAAACUUGAAUAUUUUUUUCACAGUAUUAAACAUCGGUAAACAGUACAAUGAAUGAAUUUUAACCUUUUUUUCUUCUUUAAUCAAAUGCGUGGAGUGGAUGGUACAUAUUGUUACACUAAUCUCAGUUAUCUGACAGCAAAAGCGAAGUUUCAUUGUUUUAUCGUCCCAAUUUCUUGGUACUGAGUCAAAUUAACGUGAAAUUUCUUGGUGAGUUCUUGUUAGUAUCAAAGUAAUCAGAGAUUCAGAAUGUUGUUGCUUAAGUUAGAAAGCUAAUCCAAUAAAAGUCAGCCCUUUAAUUAUUGUUUAAUUCUUCAAACUCUAAGCAUAAAUUCAAAAAGGAUGUUUUGGGUUCAUUAACAUUGCAUCCCCUCUUCUGGGAGUCUUUCGUUUCCAUCUUGAAGAUUCUUACAAAAAUUUGCUGUUUAUGUCUCUCUGAAACCUUACUCGUUACGAAAAAGGAUAAAGCAGUUAUGUAUUGCCCUUGUCUUGUAUUUUAUUAUUAAUUUUUUCAAUGUUUCCUAAACUGAUCAAACAACGAUUUAUGACUCUGCAGUUUGUUCCAUAUAUUUACAGUCAGUCAAUCUUCGAGAAUUUUCUGUAGAAUAAACUGUGAAACCUAAAUGGGAGGAAAACAGACUAAAUAUAGCAAUUGUAAACACAGCGAUUCAUUAAGUUAUGGAUCGCCAUAUUGCCCUUUGCCUCAACAUUUAUCUCCUGGAAAUUCCAUGAACUCGAAUGGAACUAAGUUUCUCUCAAGAUAUAGGAGAAUUGAUGACAACUACAGCUCUCUUGACCAGGUACUAUCUCUACCGCAUCUCUUUGCUUUUGGCUGGUGAUGUGUGUAUAUAUAUAUAUAUAUAUAUAUAUAUCAAAGCUUCUAAUUCUGUUUGUGGAUGAAAAUUUAGACAGUAUCUCACUAAGAUUUAAUUUACAAUAAGUUUUAAACUGGUUCGAGUUUAAGUUGCCUUAGAAACUUUCUGGUUAGACUUGAAAUUGAUAUUUUAUUUCAUAUCAUGCCUGAUUGCAACUUCUUGAUUUCAAUGUGUUCAGCAAAAACUCAGACUUUGUGUGAGAAUAUGGUUCUCUUAACUCCAUUAGAUUUAAGUGUUAUUUGUGUCAUUCACAUGGAUUGUACUUGUCUAGUUUUAUUGUGGAACAAUUGAUAGGAUUGACGGUUGGGAUUUAUUCUAUGUGAGAUAUUUUUUGUUGCUUUAGCUUGUGUGAGAAGCUUUGACUAUUUUUCAUCAAAUAGGGCUUUCUCACGUUUUUGACAAAAAUAAGUCUUUCUCUUUUAAAAUUCAGCCCUCUCUCUUCUCCUCAAGACUUCUCUCUCCAUUUUGCACCUUACUGUGAGUGCUCUUGAGAGUGUCUUCUUGUGAGCUUCUUCUUGAGUGUCCCUUGUGAUAACUUAAGCCUGAAAUAGUGGCUAAGUAUAGGUAAUGUUUCUCAAAGCAUGGUAGAAGAGAGGGGUGCAGUGGUGACGGUUUCAAAGGAGGUUCUUUGCCGGUUUUCUAGCUCUCUCUUUAGAAGGUGAUUUGCAUGACAUGGGAGCUGUUCCUGAGCCUGAAAAUCAGCCAUAAACAAGAGAAGUUGCUGUCCAGAUUUUCGA
rnacentral:lncRNA from 1 species